rnacentral:rRNA from 1 species
UAGGGAAUCUUCCACAAUGGACGCAAGUCUGAUGGAGCAACGCCGCGUGAGUGAAGAAGGCUUUCGGGUCGUAAAACUCUGUUAUUGAAGAAGAACGUGUGUGACAGUAACUGGUCAUGCAGUGACGGUAUUCAAUCAGAAAGUCACGGCUAACUACGUGCCAGCAGCCGCGGUAAUACGUAGGUGGCAAGCGUUGUCCGGAUUUAUUGGGCGUAAAGCGAGUGCAGGCGGUCUUUUAAGUCUGAUGUGAAAGCCUUCGGCUUAACCGAAGAAGGGCAUCGGAAACUGGGAGACUUGAG